rnacentral:sRNA from 1 species
AAAGGUGUUCGCCUAGCUUCUUUGAUGACCCGGUUGAUAUCCGGUUCCGAGCUUGUACCUGAU